GCUGAGCGCAAGAGAAGCACUGCGCUAGAUCAGGCUAAUAGUCACCCUGUUGCUGUAUCCUCUCAUCAGACUACUGCCGAAACUAAGCUAAAAACAGAAGAAAUAGAGAAAGACUGUUUCAAACAGCUACUGAACAGCGAACGAUUGUACAGAGAGUUGACAAUUACAGAAAAUACGUUCGUUAAGACUUUGGACGAUGAACUUGAAGACAAUAAGCGAAAACACAAGCAGAAGUAUGAU